GUAUUUGGCAAUAUCUUCUAAAACCAAAUGUCUACCCAAUGACUCAGCAAUUCAACUUUAUCCAUUGUAGAAUGUAAUGAAGAUAGCUAUCAGGUUAGGUUUCAAAGUGUUAGCCAAGGAUCCAACAUGGCGGCGGGCGGAGAGGCAGCGCUUUCAAUACCCCCUCAGUGAUGGGGUCAGAAAGACGCAUAGAUAACACUUAGAUUCUACUUGCGGAAAAUCUCCCAGCAAAAUUCCACUGAAGAGAGACCAGCCAGGAGUUACUAGGAUUUUUGGAAGUAACAGUUUGCCUCAGAUGAGUGAAUCCCCGCCACGAGACGCAGAGGUCCAGAUCCGCCAGCCGCUGUCUGCUGUCCGCGCGCCGCAGCGCGGCUGCCGGCCCACCCGCAGCCACUGUGACUGGGUGGCUAGACUCCGAGACGCAGCUUGGCAGGAAGAGGUCUUUAGCCAAACCUUCAUGAAAUAGCGAGCCGGGAGCUGAGGCCAACCGAGGACGGACCAGUCCCACCCCUCCC
rnacentral:lncRNA from 1 species